UUAAAGAUGUAUUCAUUUGGAGUGUUUGUCUUUGUCCAUGUCGCGUGAGGUUUAUGUUAAAUGUUAUUGAUUUUAAAAGAGCAGCUGAGAGCCGUAGUGCCGGGGUGGGGAAAGCCGGGGUGGGGAAAGCAGCUGAGAGAGCUAGCCAGAUCCUCAAGUGCCACUGCAUAUGUGCCGUGAUAGCACGUGUAAUUUUGCUGGGGAAAGUGAUUUAGCUUGCGGUGCAAUCAGAGACUGUAAAAAAUGGGUGCAAUAUUGUGUGUUGUGCCCGGAAGUGAUAUAAUUCCGGUGUGAGUUGCAGUGCAGUGUUAAGUUGCAGUUCCCUAAGGGGGUGUAAUUUCUGUGUGGGGUGGUCUAGAUUGGCGAGUGCCCAUACACCUGUUUUUGGCCCAUGUGGGUGGCCCCGGAGGGGAGUAUAGGACUCAGUCUGUUUAAUACGUAUAACUGAAAGUUUUCUUUUCUGCACUUUUGACUUGUCAAUACAAGACAACACGCUUCUACAAUUAUGAUAGGUCAGGGGGGCGGGAUUACUGUAUCAAAGACGCGUGAACAAUGAAAAUAUAUCUCCUUUCCUUAUCUUCAGAGCAGUGUGAAGGCCGUAGUGCAAUUGUGUGCGUUUGUUUUCAAUUUGUAGCGCCGAGCUACAUCUGUAAGUGGUUGUAAUAGUGCUAGUAAAAGUGCUGGUUUUAAUAGAAUAACGUUAUAUACGUCACUGUCAAAGUGCGUGUGUUGUUAUCAGAGUGAUUAGAGUGGAAUUUGCAUCAGUGAGCACCUGUUAACGAAGCUAGCUAGCUUGCUAUUGCUACAGAAUCGCUUCAGCUUGCAUUUAGCUUUCUGGCAAUUUAGCUUGCGCUAACAUAACGCUAGCGCACAUUCAGCACUGAGGACUGGAACCUGGACACUGACCGUUUAUCCAGAUAGCGCUCUAUGCUACCAGGAAUAGCGCAGCAGCACCUCUGGCACCGGGAAACCCGACAGCGCUCCGUGUGACCGGAAAAGCAGGGAAGCACCUCUAGCAACAAGGGAGAAAAUCUGCAUUGUUCACAGGGAGUUCAAUGGAGUCCUGCUUGGGGACAGAGGCUAUGCCUGCAUGCCGUACCUGCUCACACCCUACCCAGAUCCAGGAAUAGAGGCGGAGAGGGCCUUCAACCAUGCCCACACAAAAACGAGGGCACGGAUAGAGAUGACCUUUGACCAACUGAAAUCCAGGUUCAGAGCUUAAAGUUCUCAGGCACAAUGCCAGAUUUCAGGCAUAGAGCAGUUUUAAAUUCAUAUAAUACUUAAUUCAAUACAUUGUACACAUUUCCUCCUGGACAACUUUUCAGGCUCACAAAUCUUUUCUUGUUUUAAUCCCUGCAGGUUCCAGUGCCUGAAAGGCCUCAGGGUUACUCCUGACCGGGCAGUCUUGCACAACAUUGCUACUAUACGCCGGGAGAGACUGCCCACAAUGUUGGUGGAGGAGCAAUGGGAGGACCUCGACCCGGCCCUUCAGGAACCGAUGGAUGGAACGACAGUGAGGGACCUUUACAAGGACACAUAUUUCAGUUAAUCCCCAUUGUGGUGACCUUUGUUUGAGUUAUCCCCUUUUUUCAGAAUUUAGCAUGUUCUGUACAAUUUUAAUAAACACAUGUGUGCCUAAGUUGUGUUGAAUUUCUGUAUUAAUUCACUCAUUUGAUUCAAGCUGUGGAGACAAAACACAGAAAAUUAAAUACAGUCCAAACUAUGA